GGGGAAUAUUGCACAAUGGAGGAAACUCUGAUGCAGCGACGCCGCGUGAGUGAAGAAGUAAUUCGUUAUGUAAACCUCUGUCUUCGGGGACGAAAAAAAGACGGUACCUGAGGAGGAAGCUCCGGCUAACUACGUGCCAGCAGCCGCGGUAAUACGUAGGGAGCGAGCGUUGUCCGGAAUUACUGGGUGUAAAGGGAGCGUAGGCGGGAUCGCAAGUCAGAUGUGAAAACUAUGGGCUUAACCCAUAAACUGCAUUUGAAACUGUGGUUCUUGAGUGAAGUAGAGGUAAGCGGAAUUCCUAGUGUAGCGGUGAAAUGCGUAGAUAUUAGGAGGAACAUCAGUGGCGAAGGCGGCUUACUGGGCUUUAACUGACGCUGAGGCUCGAAAGCGUGGGGAGCAAACAGGAUUAGAUACCCUGGUAGUCCACGCCGUAAACGAUGAUUACUAGGUGUGGGGGGACUGACCCCUUCCGUGCCGCAGCAAACGCAAUAAGUAAUCCACCUGGGGAGUACGACCGCAAGGUUGAAACUCAAAGGAAUUGACGGGGGCCCGCACAAGCAGUGGAGUAUGUGGAUUAAUUCGAAGCAACGCGAAGAACCUUACCAGGUCUUGACAUCGUAUGCAUAGCUCAGAGAUGAGUGAAAUCUCUUCGGAGACAUAUAGACAGGUGGUGCAUGGUUGUCGUCAGCUCGUGUCGUGAGAUGUUGGGUUAAGUCCCGCAACGAGCGCAACCCUUACUGUUAGUUGCUACGCAAGAGCACUCUAGCAGGACUGCCGUUGACAAAACGGAGGAAGGUGGGGAUGACGUCAAAUCAUCAUGCCCCUUAUGACCUGGGCCUCACACGUACUACAAUGGCUGUCAACAGAGGGAUGCAAAGCCGCGAGGUGGAGCGAACCCCUAAAAGCAGUCUUAGUUCGGAUUGUAGGCUGCAACCCGCCUACAUGAAGUCGGAAUUGCUAGUAAUCGCAGAUCAGCAUGCUGCGGUGAAUACGUUCCCG
rnacentral:rRNA from 1 species